rnacentral:rRNA from 1 species
UACGGGGGGAGCAAGCGUUGUUCGGAUUUACUGGGCGUAAAGGGCGCGCAGGCGGUCGUGACAAGUCACUUGUGAAAUCUCCGGGCUUAACUCGGAACGGUCAAGUGAUACUGUCGGACUAGAGUACAGAAGGGGCAACUGGAAUUCUCGGUGUAGCGGUGAAAUGCGUAGAUAUCGAGGGGAACACCUGCGGCGAAGGCGGGUUGCUGGGCUGAUACUGACGCUGAGGCGCGAAAGCCAGGGGAGCGAACGGG